CUAUUAGCAGAAAUGCUGAAGGUUCAGAAAAGUAGUCAUAUGCUGUUAGUAAUUUUCUGAAACUAGGCUUGUGAUUCUUUGGGCCUCUCCCUCUCUAGCUGUUGUGAAAAUUUUUAUGGGAUAUGUCUCUAUAGAUUGUUGGGAAAAAGUUGGAGUUAAUUGUGCUGUUGCAAUUCUGAUGGGAAUAUGUAGUGAUUUGUUUCUAUCUUGUUCCUUAACAUCUUGACAUUCCAUUAUGAUACUGCUCAAAGCCGGCCCAAGCGUUAGGCGACCGAGGCGGCCGCCUAAGGCCUCGGGCCAAUGGCCAAGGAAGCAAAGGCCCCGGGCCAAUGACCAAAAGGAAGCAAAGGCCCCACAUAAAACGGGAACAGGAGCUGGCUACGAGUCUUCCCCCCUGAUGGAAGGGACGUGGAGAGAGUUUCCUGGCCUGCAGAGGGGCAAUUUGGGAAGUUGGGGAUAGUAGUUUUGUUUGGGUGGAGAGAAAGCGAGAGGAGGGAUUUGG
rnacentral:lncRNA from 1 species